rnacentral:rRNA from 1 species
GAGUUUGAUCCUGGCUCAGGACGAACGCUGGCGGCGUGCCUAAUGCAUGCAAGUCGAACGCAGCAGGCGUGCCUGGCCGCGUGGCGAACGGCUGAGGAACACGUGGGUAACCUGCCCCAGAGUGGGGGAUACCCCAUCGAAAGACGGGACAAUCCCGCAUACGCUCUUUGGAGGAAAGCCAUACGGCGCUCUGGGAGGGGCCUGCGGCCCAUCAGGUAGUUGGUGUGGUAACGGCGCACCAAGCCAAUGACGGGUACCCGGUCUGAGAGGACGACCGGGCAGACUGGGUGUGCGACGCGGCCCAGACUCCUACGGGAGGCAGCAGCAAGGAAUUUUCCCCAAUGGGCGCAAGCCUGAGGGAGCGACGCCGCGUGGAGGACGACGGCCUUCGGGUUGUAAACUCCUUUCGGGUGGGACGAAGCCGACGGUACCACCAGAAGCAGCCCCGGCUAACUCUGUGCCAGCAGCCGCGGUAAGACAGAGGGGGCAAGCGUUGUCCGGAGUUACUGGGCGUAAAGGGCGCGCAGGCGGUGGGCUGCGUCGGCGCUGAAAGCGCCCCGCUUAACGGGGCGAGGUGCGCCGAUACGAGUUCACUCGAGGCAAGCAGAGGGUGGCGGAAUUCCGGGUGGAGCGGUGAAAUGCGUAGAGAUCCGGAGGAACGCCGGUGGGGAAGCCGGCCACCUGGGCUUGACCUGACGCUGCGGCGCGACAGCGUGGGGAGCAAACCGGAUUAGAUACCCGGGUAGUCCACGCCGUAAACGAUGCCGGCUCGGCGUCUGGCGCACGUUAGUGUGCUGGGUGCCUUAGCUCACGCGGUAAGCCGCC